rnacentral:rRNA from 1 species
GACAGAGGGUGCAAACGUUGUUCGGAAUUACUAGGCGUAAAGCGCGUGUAAACAGCCCUGCAAAUCGGGUGUGAAAUCCCAUGGCUCAACCAUGGAAGUGCAUUCGAAACUGCAGGGCUAGAGUCCUGGAGAGGAAGGUGGAAUGCUUGGUGUAGAGGUGAAAUUCGUAGAUAUCAAGCGGAACACCGGUGGCGAAGGCGGCCUUCUGGACAGUGACUGACGCUGAGACGCGAAAGCGUGGGGAGCAAACAGG